rnacentral:rRNA from 1 species
ACGAACGCUGGCGGCGCGCCUAACACAUGCAAGUCGAGCGAGAACCAGGGCUUCGGCCCUGGGGACAGCGGCGAACGGGUGAGUAACACGUGGAUAACCUGCCCUCGGCACCGGAAUAGCCCGAGGAAACUCGGAUUAAUGCCGGAUGGCCCCAUAUCCCUGCGGGGAACGUGGGAAAAGGUAGCUUAGGCUUCUAGCCGAGGAUGGGCCCGCGCCCGAUUAGCUUGUUGGUGAGGUAAUGGCUCACCAAGGCUACGAUCGGUAGCUGGUCUGAGAGGACGAUCAGCCACACUGGGACUGAGACACGGCCCAGACUCCUACGGGAGGCAGCAGUGGGGAAUCUUGCGCAAUGGGCGAAAGCCUGACGCAGCGACGCCGCGUGCGGGAGGAAGGCCUUAGGGUUGUAAACCGCUUUCAGGAGGGACGAAGCCACUCGGGUUAAUAGCCCAGAGGGUGACGGUACCUCCAGAAGAAGCCCCGGCUAACUACGUGCCAGCAGCCGCGGUAAUACGGAGGGGGCAAGCGUUGUUCGGAAUUACUGGGCGUAAAGAGCGUGUAGGCGGCCAGGUAGGUCGGUUGUGAAAACUGGAGGCUCAACCUUCAGAGGUCGACCGAAACCAUCUGGCUAGAGUCCGGGAGAGGAGAGUGGAAUUCCUGGUGUAGCGGUGAAAUGCGCAGAUAUCAGGAAGAACACCCGUGGCGAAAGCGGCUCUCUGGAACGGUACUGACGCUGAGACGCGAAAGCAUGGGGAGCAAACAGGAUUAGAUACCCUGGUAGUCCACGCCGUAAACGAUGGGCGCUAGGUGUGGGAGGUGUCGACUCCUUCCGUGCCGAAGCUAACGCAUUAAGCGCCCCGCCUGGGGAGUACGGCCGCAAGGCUAAAACUCAAAGGAAUUUACGGGGGCCCGCACAAGCGGCGGAGCAUGCGGCUUAAUUCGAUGCAACGCGAAGAACCUUACCUGGGUUUGACAUAUGGGGAAAACUGGCAGAGAUGUCAGGUCCGCAAGGGCCCCAUACAGGUGGUGCAUGGCUGUCGUCAGCUCGUGUCGUGAGAUGUUGGGUUAAGUCCCGCAACGAGCGCAACCCUCGUCCUAUGUUGCCAGCGGAUAACGCCGGGGACUCAUAGGAGACUGCCGGGGUCAACUCGGAGGAAGGUGGGGAUGACGUCAAGUCAUCAUGCCCCUUAUGUCUAGGGCUGCACGCAUGCUACAAUGGCUGGUACAGAGGGCUGCGAUACCGCAAGGUGGAGCGAAUCCCACAAAGCCAGCCUCAGUUCGGAUUGGGGUCUGCAACUCGACCCCAUGAAGUCGGAGUCGCUAGUAAUCGCAGAUCAGCAACGCUGCGGUGAAUACGUUCCCGG